rnacentral:rRNA from 1 species
UACAGAGGGUGCAAGCGUUAAUCGGAAUUACUGGGCGUAAAGCGCACGUAGGUGGCUGGGUAAGUUGGAUGUGAAAUCCCCGGGCUUAACUUGGGAAUUGCAUUCAAGACUGCCUUGCUAGAGUGUGGAAGAGGGAAGCGGAAUUCCAGGUGUAGCGGUGAAAUGCGUAGAUAUCUGGAAGAACACCAAUGGCGAAGGCAAUGUUCUGGCUCGUUUCUGACGCUCAGGUGCGAAAGCCAGGGGAGCGAACGGG